UUAAAUCGGAGGAGAUGGUACCUGGUCAAGAAGAGGCUUUCAUCCUCUUCAAACAUCUUUCUGAAAGGAUUUCCAAAACAUGAAAAAAGAUGGACUGUAAAAUUGGACAAACAUGGCUACCCAAACUGACAACGCUAGCCUGACGUUACAUACGGGCAUUUGAGCAGUAACGGCUAACUGAGGAGGACAGCAGCUGGCAGGCAAAGUAAACACACUUUUACUGUUCACAAGGCACGGACAGUGUGUGACGAGUGAGGACUGGAUUUGCAGAAGAACAUUAAUAUUUCCUGAAGACGUGAUGGCUACCUGGAGAAUCAUCUGCAGCAAAGCUCACUGCAGCACGGGCCACCGCAGGCUCAACAUAAACCUCCAGCUCUCCAUCUGAGCGCUGAUUGGACGGUGGGACUUGCUCGUGAACGCGCCGGCGUGGACACGCUGCCUGUGUUUCCAGGAGACUCUUCUACGUGCCCGCGCGAGCCUCCUGCCCCUGUGCUGUAAUUUAUAAGAAGCUUCGCGUGCCCGCCAGUGGAAUGCGCGCACCCGCUAACACCCCCCCACCCCCCCCCCCCUUCCCAGCCCCCCUUGCAGCUCAUGUCCGACGCUAAGUGGAGUGCACCACUGAUGUAGAUUAUAAAAUGUAAAAUAU